CAAAUUUCCGUGACGUCGGAGACAAUAUGGAGGAUUAGAACAGAUCGUACAAUUACAAUGUAACUUGUUCAAAUAUACAUCAACAUUUCACCCCUAAGGCUGUCGCAUUGCUCUGUGACCUGUUUGGUGACCUGUUUGGUGACCUUGAGAAAUGUCUGACCUGCGAGGUCAGUAUCUGGGUCGGGCCAAUCAGCUGGCCUGCUGUGCUGUGACCUUUCACCGUGUCAGGAAGGGGCCCAGUAGGAUAGAGCCAACGAUGGGCCGGUAUCCCAGGGAGAAAGUUUACCAGAAUAUCAAUGGAUUGGAUGAUUUUCGACCAGAUGGCCGCAGGAAGAAACGUGUGGAGGUCCCGUGCAUCUGUCACUUGUUCCUGAACGGCCAGAGUUUGCUCCCUUUGUGACGUCAUUACAUCCCAGCAGUUACUUCCCUUUUUUGCGUUGUAUAGUCCCUAACUAAUUUUGCUCAUCUAGGAAAGGUUCUAAAAUAUCUAAAUAAUUUUACACACCUUUGUUACAUUGUUGUUCUUAAAUAAUGUUGCAUGCCUUAGUAACGUUGUUGUCCUUAAAUAGUUUUCUACACAUUGGUUGCGUUGACAAGUCCCCAAAUAUCUUGCACACCUUUGUAACGUUGUUAUAUUCAUAAAUAAUUUUGCACAGCUUAGUAACGUAGACAAGUCCCUAAAUAUUUUAUACGCCUUGGUAAUGUUAAUUUUUACCAUUUAGCGCCCAUUCUUUUCUUCUGGUCUGAAAAAUAUCCAAUGGUUUUUUCUUUAAAAAGUCUAGAUCUUCAUAAAAUAUAUAUUUUAAUACCGUGACACCUAAAUGAAGCGUUUAGUUAGAAAAACAUUUUCCUUAUUCUAUAACAAAAUUGCCUUAUAUCAGUUUAUUAUCAACAGUUUUUUAUUUUCCAUCACGUUUCAAAAC